GACGAACGCUGGCGGCGUGCCUAAUACAUGCAAGUCGAACGCUUCUUUCCUCCCGAGUGCUUGCACUCAAUUGGAAAGAGGAGUGGCGGACGGGUGAGUAACACGUGGGUAACCUACCCAUCAGAGGGGGAUAACACUUGGAAACAGGUGCUAAUACCGCAUAACAGUUUAUGCCGCAUGGCAUAAGAGUGAAAGGCGCCUUCGGGUGUCGCUGAUGGAUGGACCCGCGGUGCAUUAGCUAGUUGGUGAGGUAACGGCUCACCAAGGCCACGAUGCAUAGCCGACCUGAGAGGGUGAUCGGCCACACUGGGACUGAGACACGGCCCAGACUCCUACGGGAGGCAGCAGUAGGGAAUCUUCGGCAAAGGACGAAAGUCUGACCGAGCAACGCCGCGUGAGUGAAGAAGGUUUUCGGAUCGUAAAACUCUGUUGUUAGAGAAGAACAAGGACGUUAGUAACUGAACGUCCCCUGACGGUAUCUAACCAGAAAGCCACGGCUAACUACGUG
rnacentral:rRNA from 1 species